rnacentral:lncRNA from 1 species
UUUUCUUUAUUUUCUUUAUUUUCUUUAUUUUCUUUAUUUUCUCCUUUUUCCCCCCUCCUCACUCACCGACUCACGAACACGUCACCCAUGAGCCGAUCGGGUUCAGAGAAGAGGUCACCGCAGCCGUUCUGGGUACGACUCAGGACUUCAGACUCUGCUGACACAGACUGAGCUCGGUGUGUUUUCUCUGUGAGCGGACGGUCAUUAUAGAGUUAAUAACACACACACGCACACACACACACACUGACUCAGAGUCCUCAGACUCAGAGGCAGCAGUGGUCGAGUUUUAGUCGAUGAUUUUAAUCUCUUUUUAAUAAUGUAGUUUUGUUUAACACAGUAGUUAUAGUUUAAUUAUCUAGUAAAGUAGAGAAUAGAUCAAAGUCAAUUUUUCACCAAUCAAACAUGUUUCUCUUUUUAUUAUUGUGACCUUAGAGACUCAAGAAACGACGUCCAUUCAGACGUAGAAUAUUCAUAAAACAUAUUUAUGUGACCAAACCUGUAGGAACACAUGAGAUUAAAUUAGAUUAAUACAUGAAAUACUGAAGCAUCACAUGACAACACGCACUAGACACAGGCUACAUACACACAGAUGAAGGUCCCGCCUCCUUCGCCUCUAAUUGGCUAGAAAAGCUGGAAACGUCGUCACUCACUCAAACCAAACGCAGACUGUCGGCUCUGAACGUCGAACAUUAUCACACUUCUGAAUCUCCUAACCCAACCGACAAUGACGUUUCACAGCCAUUAGGAAGAACCAAUCGGAGCCCAGUACUUGUAGCCAAUCAGAGGCGAGGGAGCGUUGUUCCAUCAGUGUCUUAACGUUCCUGGAGUUCAUCAUAAAAACCUUCAGACGUCGUUUUAAACUCGUGUUUGUAUUUCUCGGUUAUUUUACGAUCACAUUUCAGUUUAGUUUUUUACUUGUUUGUAAUUGAAGUCUGUCCAGAUAUCAUUUCUUAUUUUUCUCCCCUACGAUCCGAACACGACUCUAACUCACCCAAAAACCUCUGAAAAUAUGGCGAGUUCGGGGACGGAGGACGUGACGUCACCGAGGAAACAGGAAACAAGAAUAACGCGACUCAACGAUUUCGUCUCGUUUUAGUAAAAUAAAAAAUAAACAUUUUUAUCAGUUUUUAUCUAGUGAACCACAUUAAUCUGGUUUUUAUUCGUCUAUAACUGUGAAUUAUAGAUUUAGUUUUAGUCAUCGUCACAUGACCAACAUUUACGUCUCGUCUCUUUUUCGUCACGUGAUAAAAGUUCGUUAACGGCUAUCGUCUCUGUUCUCCAUCACAACCCGGAACUUACAGAGAGUCCAGAAACACGACCCCCCAACUCUGGAAACAUGGACUCUCCUCUCUUCUCCUCCUCCUCCUCCUCCUCCUCCUCCUCGGUCCGCAGGAAUCUCAGCUAUUCGAGGCUCUGGAGCAGUGAGGUGGAAACAUGUGAGGAAUCUGGAGGCCUGACCCUCCACUCCCCCUUUACUCCCCCUUUCCUCCCCCUCCAUCUCUGCUCUCUGUUACCUGCUGAGGGGGAGGAGAGGAGCGCUGCGGCCCGGCGCUCUGGACGAGGUUAUUACAGCGUAUCAGUGACAGCGAGGAGGACGACCCGCU